AUUGAACUCUGGCGGCAUGCUUUACACAUGCAAGUCGAACGGCAGCGCGGGCUUCGGCCUGGCGGCGAGUGGCGAACGGGUGAGUAAUACAUCGGAACGUGCCCAGUAGUGGGGGAUAGCUCGGCGAAAGCCGGAUUAAUACCGCAUACGACCUGAGGGUGAAAGCGGGGGAUCUUCGGACCUCGCGCUAUUGGAGCGGCCGAUGGCAGAUUAGCUAGUUGGUGGGGUAAAGGCCUACCAAGGCGACGAUCUGUAGCUGGUCUGAGAGGACGACCAGCCACACUGGGACUGAGACACGGCCCAGACUCCUACGGGAGGCAGCAGUGGGGAAUUUUGGACAAUGGGCGAAAGCCUGAUCCAGCAAUGCCGCGUGUGUGAUGAAGGCCUUCGGGUUGUAAAGCACUUUUGGCGGGAACGAAAAGGACUGUGCCAAUACCACGGUUCGAUGACGGUACCCGCAGAAUAAGCACCGGCUAACUACGUG
rnacentral:rRNA from 1 species